CCGAGCUCGCGCCCACCCGGGCCGACCUCCCCCCCGUGUGUAUUCUUACCCUGUUGCUUUGGCGAGCCGCCCCCCUGAGGGGCCUUGCACGCUCGUCGGAGGCCCUCAAAACCCUGUUCGUCAGUGUCGUCUGAGCGUGAUAUAAUAGUUA
rnacentral:misc_RNA from 1 species